AUGGCUACCCCAUCGGACGCCCACUCCGUGACGAGCGGCGGCGGCGGCUUGGGGGCCGCGAAAUCCGACCUAGAGUGUUACUUUGAUCAACUCGAUCUGAACGAGGAGGACUUCGAUGAUGUGGUAAUCGAGGAGGAUGAUCCCGAGCUCGAGGAAAUCGCCCAGUGGCUGGCCCUUGCUAGGGUUCAUACCAGCAAGGGGUUUAGGCCCACGGCAUUCUAUAAGGAGAUGCGGGCCGCUUGGAAUCCUGCUCAGAAAGUUAGGUUUCGACCUGUUGGUCCUAACAGAUUUGUCGUCCAGGCUUCCUGCCUAGGGGAUUGGGAACAGAUCAUGCAACAGUGUCCGUGGUUGUUCCGCAAUUACGCGGUGCUUCUCUGCCCGUAUGACGGCCUGAGCAAGACUGAGGAGAUUGUUUUUUUAUCAUAUACCGAUCUGGUUGCAGAUACACAAAUUACCGGACAUCUACUACAAGAAGAACAUCGUGGAGAAGCUUCUUAA
rnacentral:rRNA from 1 species